rnacentral:rRNA from 1 species
UACGGGGGGGGCAAGCGUUGUUCGGGAUUACUGGGCGUAAAGGGCUCGUAGGUGGCCAACUAAGUCAGACGUGAAAUCCCUCGGCUUAACCGGGGAACUGCGUCUGAUACUGGAUGGCUAGAGUUUGGGAGAGGGAUGCGGAAUUCCAGGUGUAGCGGUGAAAUGCGUAGAUAUCUGGAGGAACACCGGUGGCGAAGGCGGCAUCCUGGACCAACACUGACGCUGAGGAGCGAAAGCCAGGGGAGCAAACGGG